UGCAGUUCGAGGGGCAGCAUGAACAAUAUCAAUAUUGUUUGAUGGCGACCGCCCGCACGGGUGCGCUAACACGAUAUGUAAUCUGCCUUAUACUGGGGCAUAACUCCGAGAAAUCGGUGCUAAUUCCCCAUAACACUGCGAAGUGGCAUCACUUUGCAGUUAAAGCUCCGGCGGUAUAAGAUGAACAUGCGUCCAAUUAGUUAGUUGGUGAGGUAACGGCUCACCAAGACUCCGAUUGGUAGGGGUUCUGAGAGGAUGAUCCCCCACACUGGUACUGAGACACGGACCAGACUCCUACGGGAGGCAGCAGUGAGGAAUAUUGCGCAAUGGACGAAAGUCUGACGCAGCCAUGCCGCGUGAAGGAUUGAAGGCCCUAUGGGUUGUAAACUUCUUUUGUACGGGAAAAAACGCUUCUAUGUAUAGGAGCCUGAUGGUACCGUAAGAAUAAGCACCGGCUAACUCCGUGCCAGCAGCCGCGGUAAUACGGAGGGUGCAAGCGUUAUCCGGAUUUAUUGGGUUUAAAGGGUCCGUAGGCGGACUAAUAAGUCAGUGGUGAAAAGCCCCUUGCUCAACAAGGGAACUGCCAUUGAUACUGUUAGUUCUCGAGUACAAGUGA
rnacentral:rRNA from 1 species